rnacentral:tRNA from 1 species
AGGGAUAUAGCUCAGUGGUAGACACUUGCCUAGCAAGCAUGAGAUCCUGGGUUCAAUCCUUAGUAUCUUAA